CGUCCAUCUGGACAGCCAGACACACAUCCACAUUGUAGCUCAGCAGGGGAUCCUCAUCUAGCUUGCCAGGCUGAAAAGCCAGAAGGUAACCCUUCUUCAGAAUGUUUGGGAAUGUCUGCUUGUGUUCUGGAAAUUAAAAAAAAAAGAAGAGGCAAAGUAUUAAUUAAACUAUGAAAAGGAAACAUGCUAUGGGAGCACCAAGUACAUGAGACAG